AGUGGUGGAAGGGGAGAUGGAGGACACAGAAAGCAAGUAAAAGUGGGUGGGGGCAAAGGAAGAGGGGGCAGAAGCAGCAAGGCCCCAUCCUAAGUAGCAAUAAGAAGGAGCCUCUCUGCUAACGGGCUUGAAAGCUACUUGGCAUUUUCCAGCUCAAAUUAACCUUUUCAAGCGAUGGGUCUCUUUUAUUUUAUUUGGGGGGGGCGGGAGAUGUGCAGCCGUCCCCCUGCUGAGCCCAGCAUAGACAGGGUGCUGGAAGCAGGUGUUACCGACACUGACUGGCAGCGGCUUCUUCUCCAAGGUGGCAGGCGGGAGUCUCUCCCAGCCCGGUCUCUCUGGAGAUGCUGCCAGGGAGGGAACUCGGCAGGUGCUCUUCCCAGAGCGCCCCGCCCCAUACCGCCUAAGGGAGUAUCUUGCAGGUGUAGUCGCCCAUUCAAAUCCAACCCAGGCUGGGCCCUCCUGAGCAAAGCCCACUCACGCGGGCUCGCCCCGCUCAGCUCGCUCCAGCCAAUCAGCCGAGGGGCGGGGCGGAGGCGGCAGCGAUGUAUGCCCGGCCUCGCAAAUGCGUCACGGUCACGUGCCGGGGGGGUUCCCAGGGGCAGGGAGGGGCGGCUCUCUGGGCGGAGCUGAUCCCCCCCGCCUGCCCGGCUUUGCUGCGUCGCGUUUCCUCCUCCUGCAGGUGCCGGCUGCGGGGCGGAGACCCUUUGGGCUGCGCUUUUUCUAGCACAGGUGAACUGGAGACGAUGCAGCAGAGGGUAACCGAGAUUAUCAGGGGCCCUGGAACACCUGUCUGUCUAUCAAAUUUGUAAGCCAAAGGCCUCUCCGCAAAGGAGGAUGCUGAAUGUCGCGGACCUUCCGGAAGACCUCUUGCUGGACGUGCUGUCUUGGGUCCCUGCCAAGGACCUGGUUCUCUCCUGCCGGCUGGUCUGCUCCCACUGGCGAGACCUGGUGGACCUGCCCACGCCGUGGAAACGCAAAUGCCAGCGGGAGGGCUACUACUACAAGCGGCUGGACCGGAGCAUCCAAGACUGGAGGGCCGCCUAUUUCCUGUUCAGCCUGAGAAGAAAUUUAAUUAAAAACCCCUAUGCUGAAGAGGGAUUUGACUUCUGGGAAAUCCAGUCCAACGGAAGGAAAAAAUGGCGCAUCGAGGAGCUUCCUGGAGACUGUGGGCAAAGAUCCCCGCACCCACACGUUCAGAAAUACUUUGUCACAUCUUUUGAGGCCUGCACGAAGCAGCAGCUCAUCAGCUUGAAAGAAGAAGGCUACUGGGACCAGCUGAUGGACAAAGCCAAGCCUGCGAUUGUGGUGCGGGACUGGUAUACUGCCCAGCACGAUUGCGGCUGCCGUUACCAACUGUGCGUGAAGCUGCUGUCCUCGGACUACAUCGUCCUCGAAGAAUUUUCGACCGAAGACCUGGUCAUAGAGCAGUGGGGCGACGCAGAGUGGCGCGAGGCUUUGUACACUUUUCAGAACUAUCCUUCCGGGGUCCGCUACAUCCUCUUUGAGCAUGGAGGCGAAGAUACCCGAUACUGGGCGGGCUGGUACGGCAUCCGAGUCACCAACAGCAGCAUCACCAUUACCCCCGACGUCGUGGAAUGAAGACCAGUGGCGUGGUGGUGACCACUUCCCAGAUUUGCAGCACUUUUCCUUUCUCCUGUGCAGUUUGUGGAUGAAGCUUGCCGUCGAUGUGCUGUGGUGGUCAGAUUAAGCCAAAAACUUCACAGUGGUACGCUCCGAACAAGCUAACCCACCUUGGACAGAGUCACGACACAGACAUAAACACACACGCUUCAUAACCACAGAUGGUGUCCACUGACAUCCUACCGCUGCUCCUCUUCAACAUCGAUCCUCACACAGGUCUAGGAACUUGAUAAGUGUGCAACAUUCAGACACAGAGACUUGCUGAAGGAGAGGCAGACUCUCUUUUAUACAGACAGAUAAGGGCACUUGACAAGACACAUGUGCGAGGAAACUCUUGGCACAGUGUGAAAAGUCACUGAGGAUCAGUGGUUGAAGCACCCAUGUUCUCUAUGCAGAGAGGGGCACCUUUUUUUGCCCUUGCCCUUCAAGAUCGUUUGAGGUUCAAGGCCCAUUGAGAAGAGCUGGAUUCAAGUACCUUUCUGGGCUCUCUCUUCUACAUACAGCUGCAUCUGGAAAGGAGAAACGUGAGCAAAUUAAAAACAAAAUUAAAUAAAACAGUAAUCUGAGAGCUGAUCCCUUAACAUUUGGGGUUCUGUUCCUUGGAGGGUUUUUCUACCAAUGCUUAAAAAAAACACAAAAAGCUACCCCCCCACACCUAUUUGCAUGAUUCCAAAGCCCUCUAGUUGAAACUGGCAACAGUGUGUAUGGCUGAACAGACAGAGGCAGGGAAGGAGAUCGGUAUAUUUUCGACACGCUGGUUUGAUUCUGAUUCAGAUACUAACUUUACUGGUUCAGUAACCGGUUCAGAUGCUUCAAACCGGUUUCAAACCAGUUUCAAUGCAGUUUACAGAGAAGAAGAUCCAACUCUAUUUUAAUUCAAUUCCAGGUCACAAACCGUUCUGGGGCUCCCUGAAAGUAGUAGUAAUGUAUUAAAGCAACACUACACAAUCUAAAGGAAUAAAAUAUCAGCUCUCCAAAAGCUCAGACAGGAUCUUUCCCAAGUCCUGCUACCCAAGAGAGGCCUCCUUGCAGAAACCCGGAAACACGAGCGAAGCGUUUGCAAAGUUUAUUCCUCAUCCAAAGUUUGCCAAAUCCCCCAGUCCCAUAUAAGGGUUGCCAUCUGCCGGAUCGGUGAAUACGCGGUGCAAAUUGGAUCCAACGGCACGCCCACGCCAGAAAGAUGUGCGUGUUGGACUCAGCUUUCUGGCGUGUCAUGUUUCCGACGGCGCCCCUGUUCUCCACGUUCUUUGCACACACCCUUGGCUUCGCUGGAGCAUAAUUGCGGGGAGUUAAAAGGCAAAAAAGCGGCUGUUGUGGAGGGAAGUAUGCCCAAUGCCUGGGCGGCCGGCCAGGAUAAAUUGUGAGAAGCAGCUGCUAUCCUAUGACUCAAGGUGUGGAAAAAAUAUCUUCUGGGGCAGCCAUCUACGAAGGACUGACGGAUGCUUUAACAGCGAGAGAGCGAGAAAGAGGGAGAGACAGCGAAUGUCCCACACCAGACAAGGUUGUGGGGAGGAAAGACGCUCUCACAGCACACCAGGGUCACUUUUUGCUAGCGAACCCGAAGUGGGAGAGGCUGGCACACCGUCCCACAAAUUAUCUGGCUUGGCUCACUGAUGUGAGCAAUCUGGACUCCAUUUGUUCUGCUGUACUCCUGCUCUGGUAGUGACAGUGUUCGGUCUAUUUAAGUUGCACAGGAUGGCAGAAGGGAAGGUGAGUCUAGAUGGUCUCUUGGCUCCCAUCAGGCUCCUUUAGCAAAGCCCUGCCCACUUUAGGGAGCAAGCCCCACCCACUCCAAGGCAAUUACCUUGCACCCAUUGGGGAGUCUAGUGAAAGGGGGCGGGGCCAUGGCUGUCAAUAUAGCCCCACCCACAUUCCGCAGACAGCUCCAUCGCGGGACUUGACACCCCUCUUCCCAAGCACCAAUUUAAGAUAAAACGCCCCACUCACUUUUAAAAGAUCCGACGUCAUGGUCUUCAGCGGGAUCAGCCGCGGGUCGCGCAUAUGGACGUCCUGCUCGUCGGCAAGGAUCCAGGGGAAAUCCUUCAGGGAAGAAUGCAAAGGGGUUGGCUCGUUCCGGGGUUGGUUCACACAUGCAUGGUGAUCCCCUGAUUUCCCCUGGCAGAGGAGUGCGUGAAUUGACCCAGUUUGGGAAAGGUUUACAUCUGAGGGUAAGGGAGUCUGCCGGGCUCUGGACGAGAUGGCCCAUUCACACAGGCAGGUCACUGCUGGCAUUGCAACCAUCAAGGGAUAAGAGUGAGUGCGUGUGUGUGUGUACACACAAAGGAGAAAUAUGCAAACAUUUCUCUCCCCGCCUGCAAAUACACACACACACACACACACACACACACACACACACACACACACAGCCGUUUAAGAAAGAGGUGGAAUGGGAAAUGAUAUACACUUGUUAAACUACAACACCUGGGGCUUUCUAGUUUAGAAAAAAAAAGACGACUGCGGGGAGACACGAUAGAGGUCUAUAAAAUCAUGUCUGGUGUGGAGAAAGUGGAGAGAGAGGAAUUCUUCUCCCUCUCACAGCACACUAGAACCAGGGGUCAUCCCAUGAAACUGAUUUCCGGGGAAUUUAAGACCAGCAAACGAAAGUAUUUUUUCACACAACACAUAAUCCGCUUGUGGAAUUCCCUGCCAUGAGAUGUGGUGACAGCCAACAACCUGGAUGGCUUGAAGAGGGGUUUGGAUAACUUCGUGGAGGAGAGGUCUAUCAAUGGCUACUAGUCGAAGGGCUGUGGGCCACCUCCAGCCUCAAAGGCAGGAUGCCUCUGAGUGCCAGUUGCAGGGGAGCAACAGCAGGAGGGAGGGCCUGACCCUUUCAACUCCUGCCUGUGGACUUCUCGGAGGCAUCUGGUGGGCCACUGUGGGAAACAGGAUGCUGGACUAGAUGGGCCUCCUUGGGCCUGAUCCAGCAGGGCUGUUAUGUUCUUGUUCAGCCUGCAUGCCAACCACAAGGAAAGAUGAAAUUAUUAAUAGCAGGAACAACUGCCCAAGUGUCAGAAUUGUUCACAGUGGCUAGAAGCCGUUCCUUUCCAUGGGGGUGGGGGGAUGUCAAAGAAGAGAGGGGAUCACACGAUUUGCAGGACCCCUCUGCAAUUCAAGCAUCUCCACUCACCUUGAUCACCUGGAUUUUCUCCAUGUUACGGGUGGCGGCUUCCCGCGUGUGCACUAGGACAGUGAAAGUACAGCCUGUGAGGAAAGAGCACGGGGGGGAAAUCAAUCAUUAGGAGUCCUAGGAACCGGCCUUCUACCGAGUCAGACCCUUGGCUCAUCUAGCUCAGUAAUGCAGGCACUGGCUGGCAGCAGCUAACCAAGGUUUCAGGCAGGAGCCUCUCCCAGCCCUACCUGGAGAUGCUGCCAGGGAGUGAACCUGGGGCCUAGAUGCUCUUCCACUGAGCGAUGGCCCCAUUCCCUAAGCGGAACCAUCUUACAGCGUUCAUGUGCAGUUACCCAUCCAAACGCCAACCAGGGCAGACUCUGCUUAGCAAAGGGGAUACUCCAUGCUCGCUACCAGCAGACCAGCUCUCCUUUUGAGAUGGGGAGCCCCUUUCUUCUGUCUUUUGCUAUGUACACCACUCUAAGCACUUUUUUCUUGAAAGUUUGUAUAUACAUCUAUCUAUCUAUCUAUCCAUCCCAUUUUUAUACAGCCCAAAACGCAAGUUCUCUGGGCAGUUUACAAGACAAUAAAAACCACCAAUAAAAAGAUUAACACAUUUCAACACUUAAAAUUUAAAAACGUUAAAACUAUUACACAAUUAAAACAAUAUCUAAUUAAAAGCCUGGGUGAACAGGCUUAUAAUUAUAUUCAUCCUCGGAUGCGGAUGGGAAACCGUGUGACCGCUAGGUGAAAUGCAAGCGCUUUUCACCUCCACUAAGCUUUUCCCGUUUUCCUGGGAAGGGAUGCAGGAGAGCCGUACGUAGCAUUUUGUUUCGAUGGCUGCAAAUGUCCACUCCCUUUUGGAAAGCGGAGAAUAAGCUAGAGACCCAACCCAAAUCUGCUACGGAACAAACGCUGCUUGCUGGCCGACCUGGAGGGUUGUUUUCCAACACGGCGUCGCAGACGCUGAUCUUCAAAAUGAAGGCACGCAAGAGGUGCUCCACGUGGUUCAGAAGGGAAUCGGAGCUGGAAGACGGAGAAGGGAGAGGCAGCGUUUAAUCGCCAAGCAGAAAUCGAAGGGCAGUCAUUUUGGUUAACAAAACCAAGUCGUCUUGGAGAGGAGUUAGUGAAUAGGGGGUAUACAAUUCUUCUGACUCUGGAGAUUUGCACACCCCCUGUUCACCAACUUUCCAAGCCCUGCAAACCAAGAUCCUGGAGAUGUCUGGAAUUGAAACAGAGGCUGAGAGAGUGGGUCGCCAGGGGAGAGUGCGUUUUCCCCGACAUGCACUUCUUAAUCUGUUGGGAGCCAGGAACCCUUGCUGAUCGCACAGAGAUCUAGCAGCAAAUUUUGACCUACAAACAUAGGAAUCUGCCUUCUACCGAGUCAGACCCUUGGUUCAUCCAGCUUAGUAUUGUCUACACAGACUGGCAGCAUCUUCUCCAAGAUGACAGGCAGAAGUCUCUCUCAGCCCUAUCUUGGAGAUGCCGCCAGGGAAGGAAUGUGGAACCUUCUGCAUGCAAGCACGCAGAUGCUCUUCCCAUGAGCAGCUCCAUCCCCUGAGGGGAAUAUUUUACAGUGCUCACACAUGAAGUUUCCCAUUCAAAUGCAAACCAGGUCAGACCUUGCUUAGCAAAGUGGACAAUUCAUGCCUGCUACCAUAAUGCCAGCUCUCUGCCUUCUGCAUGCCCCGGACUAGAAACAUCACACACCUACUUGAGUUUCCCUGGUAAGAAUACCCAACGCCUUUGUUCAUAAGAGCACAGCCAAUCCCCGGGUGAACAUUCUGUGACUCAGAGCAGACAGCUCCAAUGCUGAAAAGCCAGCUUUCAGGACAGAGGCAAAGAUGCAGUGCUUGGAACAGCCUAUCAGGAAAUAAAUCCUCACCUGAUCGACAGCAGGGGUGGCUGCGUGAUUUCGAAAACAAACCUCUCCACCGGAUGAUGCUCUUUGUCCAGGAUUACGACCACGACCUUUUCCACGUCAUUCUGAGAAGCGUCCGAACACAAGAACUUUUUAUUCCAUUUGACUUGACACAGAGUCCUAUGAAACCCAGAAGUUUGCAUGCACCCAUCCCAAACUAAGUUGGUCCAGCAAGAGACAGAGGUACCUAUUAGACCUUCUCAAAAUGGGGUGGGGGAAAAGAGUUGCAAUGGAACGGGACAACUACAUCGAAUUUAUAGAGACUCACCUUCUCCAGUAGAGGCUUGAUGCAGUGAAGUGUGUCCUGGAUGUACUGAUUCAACUCAGGAUGACAAGACAUCUGUUUAGAAUUAAGCAUCUCCCGUUAUCUAUAAAUAUGCUUCCCCUUCCCGGAUCUCAACUAAGGACAACAAGCAAUGCUAUAUAACUCCUGGAAUUCACAUCCCCCAAAUGCAGUGGCCAUUUGCAUGGUCAGCAACCAGCAGAGGAGGAGCUGGUCUACACCUGCUCUUCUCAUAUUACUGUUCGCAUAUUGUGUUUUUAAUCUGGUUUUAAUCUUUCUUGUAUGUUCUCUGUAUGGCCUAUGGAUGUAAUAAAUUGAUUGACUGAU